GAUAUCAGGGUCAAAAGGUCAAAAAGUCGUUCGUGCUUGCACGAUAAGACUUUUGAUCUUGGGACCCGCCAAACAUAAGAAAGUAGCGAUUUACGCAGUAAAUCAGCGGAUUUCUUAUGUUUGAGAAUUGUGGGAGCUGCUUUGCAGCGGAGCAAUUCGUGGACAUC
rnacentral:sRNA from 1 species